GAUGAACGCUAGCGGCAGGCUUAACACAUGCAAGUCGAGGGGUAACAUGAAGGUGCUUGCACUUUUGAUGACGACCGGCGCACGGGUGCGUAACGCGUAUACAAUCUGCCUUGUACUGAGGGAUAGCCCAGAGAAAUUUGGAUUAAUACCUCAUGAGAUCGUAGAGUCGCAUGACUUAGCGGUUAAAGAUUUAUCGGUAUGGGAUGGACCCGCGUCUGAUUAGCUAGUUGGUAAGGUAACGGCUUACCAAGGCGACGAUCAGUAGCCGACCUGAGAGGGUGAUCGGCCACACUGGAACUGAGACACGGUCCAG
rnacentral:rRNA from 1 species